GACGAACGCUGGCGGCGUGCUUAACACAUGCAAGUCGAACGGAAAGGCCCUGCUUUUGUGGGGUGCUCGAGUGGCGAACGGGUGAGUAACACGUGAGUAACCUGCCCUUGACUUUGGGAUAACUUCAGGAAACUGGGGCUAAUACCGGAUAGGAGCUCCUGCUGCAUGGUGGGGGUUGGAAAGUUUCGGCGGUUGGGGAUGGACUCGCGGCUUAUCAGCUUGUUGGUGGGGUAGUGGCUUACCAAGGCUUUGACGGGUAGCCGGCCUGAGAGGGUGACCGGCCACAUUGGGACUGAGAUACGGCCCAGACUCCUACGGGAGGCAGCGGUGGGGAAUAUUGCACAAUGGGCGGAAGCCUGAUGCAGCAACGCCGCGUGCGGGAUGACGGCCUUCGGGUUGUAAACCGCUUUCGCCUGUGACGAAGCGUGAGUGACGGUAAUGGGUAAAGAAGCACCGGCUAACUACGUGCCAGCAGCCGCGGUGAUACGUAGGGUGCGAGCGUUGUCCGGAUUUAUUGGGCGUAAAGGGCUCGUAGGUGGUUGAUCGCGUCGGAAGUGUAAUCUUGGGGCUUAACCCUGAGCGUGCUUUCGAUACGGGUUGACUUGAGGAAAGGUAGGGGAGAAUGGAAUUCCUGGUGGAGCGGUGGAAUGCGCAGAUAUCAGGAGGAACACCAGUGGCGAAGGCGGUUCUCUGGGCCUUUCCUGACGCUGAGGAGCGAAAGCGUGGGGAGCGAACAGGCUUAGAUACCCUGGUAGUCCACGCUGUAAACGGUGGGUACUAGGUGUGGGGUCCAUUCCACGGGUUCCGUGCCGUAGCUAACGCUUUAAGUACCCCGCCUGGGGAGUACGGCCGCAAGGCUAAAACUCAAAGGAAUUGACGGGGCCCCGCACAAGCGGCGGAGCAUGCGGAUUAAUUCGAUGCAACGCGUAGAACCUUACCUGGGUUUGACAUGGAUCGGGAGUGCUCAGAGAUGGGUGUGCCUCUUUUGGGGUCGGUUCACAGGUGGUGCAUGGCUGUCGUCAGCUCGUGUCGUGAGAUGUUGGGUUAAGUCCCGCAACGAGCGCAACCCUUGUUCACUGUUGCCAGCACGUUAUGGUGGGGACUCAGUGGAGACCGCCGGGGUCAACUCGGAGGAAGGUGGGGAUGACGUCAAGUCAUCAUGCCCCUUAUGUCCAGGGCUUCACGCAUGCUACAAUGGCUGGUACAGAGAGUGGCGAGCCUGUAAGGGUGAGCGAAUCUCGGAAAGCCGGUCUCAGUUCGGAUUGGGGUCUGCAACUCGACCUCAUGAAGUCGGAGUCGCUAGUAAUCGCAGAUCAGCAACGCUGCGGUGAAUACGUUCCCGGG
rnacentral:rRNA from 1 species